rnacentral:rRNA from 1 species
GACGAACCGAGCGAACGUUAUUCGGAAUCACUGGGCUUAAAGGGCGCGUAGGCGGGCGGCCAAGUCAGGGGUGAAAGCCCCCCAGCUCAACUGGGGAAGUGCCUUUGAUACUGGUCAUCUCGAGGGAGAUAGGGGCGUGCGGAACUUCCGGUGGAGCGGUGAAAUGCGUAGAUAUCGGAAGGAACACCGGUGGCGAAAGCGGCGCGC